AGUGAACGCUGGCGGUAGGCCUAACACAUGCAAGUCGAACGGCAGCACAGUAAGAGCUUGCUCUUACGGGUGGCGAGUGGCGGACGGGUGAGGAAUACAUCGGAAUCUACUUUUUAGUGGGGGAUAACGUAGGGACUCUUACGCCAAUACUGCAUACGACCUACGGGUGAAAGCAGGGGAUCUUCGGACCUUGCGCGAUUGAAUGAGCCGAUGUCGGAUUAGCUAGUUGGCGGGGUAAAGGCCCACCAAGGCGACGAUCCGUAGCUGGUCCGAGAGGAUGAUCAGCCACACUGGAACUGAGACACGGUCCAGACUCCUACGGGAGGCAGCAGUGGGGAAUAUUGGACAAUGGGCGCAAGCCUGAUCCAGCCAUACCGCGUGGGUGAAGAAGGCCUUCGGGUUGUAAAGCCCUUUUGUUGGGAAAGAAAAGCAGCAGGUUAAUACCCCGCUGUUCUGACGGUACCCAAAGAAUAAGCACCGGCUAACUUCGUG
rnacentral:rRNA from 1 species